rnacentral:lncRNA from 1 species
AACACUCUCUUGGUCACCUUUUGUUCACCACAUUCGUUGAGCCAUUACAAUCAUAAGGUUUUGGAUUCCUUCUUGUUGGAAGUUUCAAUUGUUUUACUAUAGAUACACUAGCAACAUUGACACAACUAUCAAUUAUAAAGAUAAAUAAUUGCUUUUGAACUCUACACCAAUUAUGAAACUAGUUCUCUCUUUGAUCAAGAUCCUUUCUUGAUUGAGCACCCAUACUUCUCC